UAAGCUUGUUUAGUAGUAAUAACAAAAACAGAAGCAGCAGUUUAAUAACAAGAACAGUGCGAAUAAGUAUAUUCAUUGGUUAAAGCUAUGAAAAGAUAUAAAAUGCUGAUAACUCCUUAAGAAUAUUAAUAUUACACUUCUGUAGAAAACUAAAAAAAUUAUUUACAUUUUGAACACGAAAAUAAAGAAGAUACUAAAAGUCGUACACAUUUAUUGUCUUUUUAUGUCGUCAAGUACGUACGCGUUUUAUAACGGAAAUGAGAAAUUUCAAACUAAUACUUCUGAAAAUAUUUUAGUAUUUUGGGGUCUUUAUUAAUUGUGGUUUCUAAUUCUUUAAAAAAAUUUUAUAUAAAAAUCCAUAACAUAAAUUUUGUUUGAUAUACCACUAUAUAAAUCUUUUUUCAACCAUUUUUUAAAACUAUAUUAUUUUCUCAAGACACAUGAUUGUUCAUGGACCAAGUCUUUAAAUAAACAUGCGGCUAAGUUGAGUUAAGCGAUAAAUUUUUUUA